rnacentral:rRNA from 1 species
UACGUAGGGGGCAAGCGUUGUCCGGAUUCAUUGGGCGUAAAGAGCGUGUAGGCGGCCAGGUAGGUCGGUUGUGAAAACUGGAGGCUCAACCUUCAGACGUCGACCGAAACCAUCUGGCUAGAGUCCGGGAGAGGAGAGUGGAAUUCCUGGUGUAGCGGUGAAAUGCGCAGAUAUCAGGAAGAACACCCGUGGCUAAGGCGGUUCUCUAGUACGGUACUGACGCUGAGACGCGAAAGCGUGGGGAGCGAACAGG